UACGUAGGGUGCGAGCGUUGUCCGGAAUUAUUGGGCGUAAAGGGCUCGUAGGCGGUCCGUUGCGUCAGGAGUGAAAACUCGGGGCUUAACCCCGAGCCUGCUUCUGAUACGGGCAGACUAGAGGUAUGCAGGGGAGAACGGAAUUCCUGGUGUAGCGGUGAAAUGCGCAGAUAUCAGGAGGAACACCGGUGGCGAAGGCGGUUCUCUGGGCAUUACCUGACGCUGAGGAGCGAAAGCAUGGGGAGCGAACAGG
rnacentral:rRNA from 1 species